GUUCCCAUGCCGAACACAGAAGUUAAGCUCCUUAGCGCCGAUGGUAGUCGGACUUACGUUCCGCAAGAGUAGGACGUUGCCAGGC
rnacentral:rRNA from 1 species